AUUGAACGCUGGCGGCAGGCCUAACACAUGCAAGUCGGGCGAGUGGCGGACGGGUGAGUAAUGUAUGGGGAUCUGCCUGAUGGAGGGGGAUCACUACUGGAAACGGUAGCUAAUACCGCAUACCAUCAGCUGUACCCCUAUGGGAUGAGCUUGUAGGUAAGGUAACGGCUUACCGAGGCGACGAUCCCUAGCUGGUCUGAGAGGAUGAUCAGCCAAACUGGAAUUGAGACACGGCCCAGACUCCUACGGGAGGCAGCAGUGGGGAAUAGUGCACAAGGGGCGAAAGCCUGAUGGAGCCAUGCCGCGUGUAUGAAGAAGGCCUUCGGGUUGUAAAGUACUUUCAGUCGAGAGGCGUUACCGACAGAAGAAGCACCGGCUAACUCCGUGCCAGCAGCCGCGGUAAUUC
rnacentral:rRNA from 1 species